rnacentral:rRNA from 1 species
CGGUAACGAUGGAAGCUUGCUUCCAGGCGACGAGUGGCGGACGGGUGAGUAAUACUUAGGAAUCUGCCCAGUAGUGAGGGACAACUCGAGGAAACUCGAGCUAAUACCGCAUACGCCCUACGGGGGAAAGCGGAGGAUCUUUCGGGACUUCGCGCUAUUGGAUGAGCCUAAGUCGGAUUAGCUUGUUGGUGGGGUAAAGGCCUACUAAGGCGACGAUCUGUAGCUGGUCUGAGAGGACGAUCAGCCACACUGGGACUGAGACACGGCCCAGACUCCUACGGGAGGCAGCAGUGGGGAAUAUUGGACAAUGGGGGCAACCCUGAUCCAGCAAUGCCGCGUGUGUGAAGAAGGCCUGCGGGUUGUAAAGCACUUUCAGUAGAGAAGAAGAGCCCAUGGUUAAUACCCGUGGGUCUUGACGUAACCUACAGAAGAAGCACCGGCUAACUCCGUGCCAGCAGCCGCGGUAAUACGGAGGGUGCGAGCGUUAAUCGGAAUUACUGGGCGUAAAGCGCGCGUAGGCGGUUUGGUCAGUCGGAUGUGAAAGCCCCAGGCUCAACCUGGGAAUGGCAUUCGAUACUGCCUGACCAGAGUAUGGUAGAGGGAAGUGGAAUUUCUGGUGUAGCGGUG